rnacentral:tRNA from 1 species
GGCGAUGUAGCUCAGUUGGUAAGAGCGUGCGGUUCAUACCCGCAAGGUCGGUGGUUCAAAUCCACUCAUCGCUACCA